rnacentral:rRNA from 1 species
AUUGAACGCUGGCGGCAGGCCUAACACAUGCAAGUCGAGCGGAUGAAGGGAGCUUGCUCCUGGAUUCAGCGGCGGACGGGUGAGUAAUGCCUAGGAAUCUGCCUGGUAGUGGGGGAUAACGUCCGGAGACGGGCGCUAAUACCGCAUACGUCCAGAGGGAGAAAGUGGGUGAUCUUCGGACCUCACGCUAUCAGAUGAGCCUAGGUCGGAUUAGCUAGUUGGUGGGGUAAAGGCCUACCAAGGCGACGAUACGUAACUGGUCUGAGAGGAUGAUCAGUCACACUGGAACUGAGACACGGUCCAGACUCCUACGGGAGGCAGCAGUGGGGAAUAUUGGACAAUGGGCGGAAGCCUGAUCCAGCCAUGCCGCGUGUGUGAAGAAGGUCUUCGGAUUGUAAAGCACUUUAAGUUGGGAGGAAGGGCAGUAAGUUAAUACCUUGCUGUUUUGACGUUACCAACAGAAUAAGCACCGGCUAACUUCGUG